UUGUAUUUGCGCGCGGAUGGUAUUCAGCACCAUGGACAGGUGCGUUUACCUGUGUGGAUGGUGUUCGGAAUCAGGUUCAACUGUAUUAAAAU
rnacentral:pre_miRNA from 1 species